UGAGAAGCUUCGACCAAGGUUCGAUUCGAGCGCAGCGAGAAAGCGUUGCCGCAGGCAACGACCCGAAGGGCGAAGCGCGCAGCGCUGAGUCAUCCUUCCCCCACCACCA
rnacentral:sRNA from 6 species